rnacentral:sRNA from 1 species
UAUAUCCAAUUAGUUCACACCAAGGUGCUGAACACAUUCAAAUGUUAACACAACUGGUGCCUUUUUGAGUUUCAUUUUUCAUUGAAUUUUGUGACAUAUUCAGGGUGUAUGUACCGGGUGCAUGUACAAAGCUUUGCAGUUUCUGUGCAUGAUAUGUACCAAGGGUAUUGAAUUCUGCCAUAAGUGUCAGAGAGUAAAACCUUGUCUUCAGUUUGUGGCUUAGAAUAAAUCCACAGAACUUAUCAAUGGUGUAUCAUUUGAAACCAGAUUUUCACAGGUAUCAAAAUGUAAACUUAAUUUAGAUUGAUAUCUUUAGUCAGGUAUCUUUAAACCGUGGGCUGAUUUGCAGAAGCUUUUACUAAGAUGCACGGUGCCAUGAUUAUUGGGUAAUUUUUAUGCAAUCAAUCUCUGCUAUAAGAGGUAAACCAGGUUGUACCAUUUAAAAAGCAAUAUAUGAUGUGUCAGUGUGUCAUUUAAUUAAUGUAUGUUGAAACCAUAUGGAUAUUAAUUUUGUAACUAACACAUUUGAUAUAUGAUGCAAGAUUAAUUUUUAUAUAAUUAUGUUAUAAGCAUUCAUUUUUUUUCCCAUUAAGAUUGUCUCUUCAAAACCACUCAAGAAAGUGGUUUGUGUUAUGUUGUGUUUUUUUUAAGGUCUAGAUGACUCCACGUUUUUUUUCAUUUUUUAUUCAAAGAUUUGAAAGAUCGUCAAAACCUUAUUGCUGGUACUUUACUGUCGAGCAAGAUCAUCUCGAUUUUUUUUUUAUGUUUAUACAGUUAUAACAUAUGCAGGUCAUAAGGUCAUCAUUUUAUUUAAGGAGAGUUGAAUAUACAUGUCAUUAUAAAAAUAUUAAUAAAGUUGCUGUGCAAAACAAG